GCCGGGUGUGGUGGCUCAUGCCUGUAAUCCUAACUAUCGGGAGGCUGAGGUGGGUGGAUCACCUGAGGUCAGGAGUUUGAGACCAUCCUGGCCAACAUGGUGAAACCCUGUCUCUA
rfam:Homo sapiens chromosome 17 genomic contig, GRCh38 reference assembly alternate locus group ALT_REF_LOCI_1.